GGAGUUAGCCGGUGCUUCUUCUGUGAGUGAUGUCCUUCCUGCCGGUUAUUGACCCGCAGGCCUUCUUCCUCACUGAAAGUGCUUUACAACCCGAAGGCCUUCUUCACACACGCGGCAUGGCUGGAUCAGGGUUGCCCCCAUUGUCCAAUAUUCCCCACUGCUGCCUCCCGUAGGAGUCUGGGCCGUGUCUCAGUCCCAGUGUGGCUGAUCAUCCUCUCAGACCAGCUACGGAUCGUCGCCUUGGUGAGCCGUUACCUCACCAACCAGCUAAUCCGACAUAGGCUCAUCCGAUAGCGCGAGGCCCGAAGGUCCCCCGCUUUCCCCCGUAGGGCGUAUGCGGUAUUAGCCUGGGUUUCCCCAGGUUAUCCCCCACUACCGGGCAGAUUCCUAUGCAUUACUCACCCGUCCGCCGCUCGCCACCAGGGAGCAAGCUCCCCGUGCUGCCGCUCGACUUGCAUGUGUAGCGUCGCCGCCACGCGUUCACUACUCGAACCGAACGAUACAACUACUCGA
rnacentral:rRNA from 1 species